rnacentral:rRNA from 1 species
GAUGAACGCUGGCGGCAUGCCUAACACAUGCAAGUCGAUCGGUAAGGCUCUUCGGAGUACACGAGAGGCGGACGGCUGAGUAACGCGUAGGAACACACCCUGCAGUGAGGGAUAAGACACCGAAAGGUGUUCUAAUACCGCAUACGGUCUUCGGAUUAAAGCAUUUAUGCGCUGAAGGAGUGGCCUGCGUCAUAUUAGAUAGUUGGUGAGGUAAUGGCUCACCAAGUCGAUGAUGUGUAGCUGGUCUGAGAGGAUGAUCAGCCAGACUGGAACUGAGACACGGUCCAGACUCCUACGGGAGGCAGCAGUGAGGAAUAUUUCACAAUGAGCGAAAGCUUGAUGGAGCAAUGCCGCGUGCAGGAUGAAGGCCCUCGGGUUGUAAACUGCUUUUAUAAGAGAAGAUUAUGACGGUAACUUAUGAAUAAGGGACGGCUAAU